rnacentral:lncRNA from 1 species
AUGGGGGCCUGGAGCAAUGGAGGACACCCAGUUGUUAAAGAUUUACCAGCAUCUCCCCUCAUGUCAAGGCAGAACAACAAAGCAGACUCUCUGAUAAGCCCUCUAAGAAAGUGCCCUUUCAUUCUUCUAUUUCCUGGAAUGAAAUUCCUCAUUCUUGUAACUUAUUCCCAGAACCAGGAGGACCCAGUGCUCACCACAGCCCCAGACUUCCUUUAUGAAUGCAGUCCAAGAGAAAGCUGGGAACUUGGUCACCUGGGUCCUGAGGAGUCCUCCCUUUCCCAAGAAACCUUCCCAGAAGCUGUCAGCCAGAGCAACUUCUGGAUAAAGAAAGGAUGUCUCACACUGGAAGUUCUGUGAGCAGGCCAAAGGAACGGCCAUCUCAGGGGCCAAACCUGGAGAAUACCUUUCCCCACCCGCCACUGCCAGUGCCCUAACCCUCAUCACUGUCUGCAAGGUGUUUCUUUAGUGUGGGAAAUGACUUCUUGCCAUUUGUUGAAUAAUUUAUUAAUUCUUAUAGAGGGAAACCAAAUUGUGAGGUGUGGCAAUGUGACAAUUUGUGGGGGAGGGAGUUGAGGCUCCCCAUUAUCUCUUUACUUUGCCCUUGACAAUUUGGGGGUGGGGCUAAGAGUGUGCAGUACCUGUGUAGCUAAGACUGAAGGUGACCAAGGCUGCUAUCUCUGUGAGUCGAGUAGUCAAAAUUGGCUAAGACUGACUUUGAGGAAGCAAUCCAGACCAACCUGAACUCAUCCAUUCAGGAGUUUGAGGAGCCCCAGGGCCACUGAGAAUCUGAUGCUGCAAGGGGUCCCCAAGCCAAGCCCCCUCCCAGCACCUUCCAAGACGGCCAAGAAGGAAAAGUCCAGCUCUGGUGUCAGGCCAGGCCAACAAUUUCCUUUCUCUUCCUUUCUUUCCCUUUUGGGGAAUGUUUCAUCUCAUCCUUCUGAAUUAAGUUCAGACCUCUGUCAGCAGGAGUGUUGAACUUGCUUAGAAAUGCAUCUUGUGAAGAUGCAUGUCAUGUCUCAGACAUUCCUGUCACAGAUACCCUGGAGAGGGUGACGAUCUGGCUGGUAGAUGUCUUUGGUGCCAUCAGGGAGAUCACUCCAAUCUCAGCACCUGCUCUCUUUCAACACAGCUCCUCUCUGUGGGCUCAAAGACUGCAGGACUGAGCCCACAUAGGGACCAAGUCAGGUCCACAAACAUUUAUCAUAUUAAGCAUUUACUAUGUACAAAUGUAGAUUUUCUUAUGCUCAAUAAUGUCCCACUGCAAUUACAUCCCAAAGUCUGUUUAGCCAUUCCCCAGGAGGUAGUCACCACUGUAGUUUACAUUUUUGGGUUACUAUAACAAGACCUGCUAUAAAUA